rnacentral:rRNA from 1 species
AACGAACGCUGGCGGCAUGCCUAACACAUGCAAGUCGAACGAGACCUUCGGGUCUAGUGGCGCACGGGUGCGUAACGCGUGGGAACCUGCCCUUAGGUUCGGAAUAACUCAGAGAAAUUUGAGCUAAUACCGGAUAAUGUCUUCGGACCAAAGAUUUAUCGCCUUUGGAUGGGCCCGCGUUGGAUUAGCUAGUUGGUGGGGUAAAGGCCUACCAAGGCGACGAUCCAUAGCUGGUCUGAGAGGAUGAUCAGCCACACUGGGACUGAGACACGGCCCAGACUCCUACGGGAGGCAGCAGUGGGGAAUAUUGGACAAUGGGCGAAAGCCUGAUCCAGCAAUGCCGCGUGAGUGAUGAAGGCCUUAGGGUUGUAAAGCUCUUUUACCAGGGAUGAUAAUGACAUUACCUGGAGAAUAAGCUCCGGCUAACUCCGUGCCAGCCGCCGCCGUAAUAC